UCCAUCAGGGUCACGCUCCAAGGCGAGGAGAGGCGAAACCAGAGGGAAGACGACUUCCCUCCGGAGGGUAGACGGGCCUGCUGGGAUACUCCCGGAUGACUGCGAAAGGCAGUGGGCGGGCUCCGCAGUUCCGCGGCACGCCGGGAAGAGGUCACUUCCUAGGGAAGGUUCCGGUUCCGGCGUAGGCGGUGGUUGAGUUGCCGUGGCAACGCGGUAACCCGGCUCCGGGUUUCCGCGUUAGGGCCGGCGGCGGGGCUGGAGCCGGCCUGUGCCCGCCUUUCGCAGCCUGGGUGAGCGACGCCGGUACCUCCGUGCGGCCGCGGCGGAAAGCCGCCGUUCGUGGUGGGAGCGGGGCCGGGGCCGGGCGCUGGGGGCCGGGGCGCCCGCGUCGAAGCGGGCGGCCACGUGUCCCGGCUGUGCCUUGGCCGCGCUGCCCGCGUGGGAGCCGAGGCCCGGACCCGGCCCGGCGGCGCCCGCCUCCGGCGUUCAAUUAUAUCUCGAAAAUAACUUUUAAAAUUGUGUAACGUGCUCUCGUGUGCAUAUCCCUUCCGGGUUUGGGGCUUCGUGGACUUUGCAGCCCGCCUCAGUCCUUUGUUGCCUAGGGAGCCACGAGGGAAUUGGUUCCCUGGACAAACGUUUUCUGAGCGGGUGCUGCGUGCUAGGCACGGUGCUUGCGCGGGAUGCCCGGACUUGGUGCCCAGAGCUCGUCAGCGGGAGAAGUGAGAAGCAGCUUCAUGGAUUCCAGGUAAAUCAGAGGAGCAAGCAUCAUGAACAGAAGUAUGUACAGGAAAUGCCGUGGUGCUGAAGCCUAAGCGAUGUUGCAGAAGUCCAGGACCUGGUGCGCUUACCAGUUGGGAAUGUAUUAUUUCCCAAAUCACCUAAUUUUUCCUCAUGCUUAUAGGAGAAAAAUUCGCAGACUUCUCUUCUGAGGAUCCAGGGACGUAGAAAAAUAACGCGAGGUAACACAUCUCGUACCUAGUAUGUAGCAUUGGCUUGGAAGCUUAGUUGUCUUUCUUACUGUCAGACGUUUUAUUGAGAACACAGCUGUCAUCAUAAGAUUACAAGUAAACCCUGAGCAGGAAGAAUACCCAGCCUGCAUUCUGGGAACUUACAAUCGAAUAAAUCUUUCGCCUUCUAAAACCACCAUUGAGGGCGCUUGGGUGGCUCAGUCAGUUGAGCGUCUGACUUGAUUUCAGCUCCUGUCACGAUCUCUCGGUCCGUGGGUUCGAGCCCCACGUUGGGCUCUGCGCUGGCAGCACGGAACCUGCUUGGGAUUUUCUGUCUCCGUCUCUCUCUGCCCCUCCCCUGCUCACGCUCUAUUUCUCCUUCUAAAUAAAUAAACACUUAAAAAAAUAAAAAAUGAAACCACUCUUGGAGUAUUGCCUCCAAACAUUGUGAUUUAAAGAAACGAAGAAGGGGGGCGCCUGGAUAUUUCUUCCAAAGCAUCAAACUCUCAUGUAUGAUUUGGCAUUUUAGUUUUGAGGUGUUUCUUUAGAAAUCUGUUCUAUUAAUGCCUGAAUCACUAUAUUGUACACCUGAACCUGAUGUAAAACUAUGCAUUGACUAUACUGGAAUUAAAAGCAAAACUAUUUUCUAUAAUGAAAACAUGACAAAAACCGUUGUCAGAAAUCUGCUUUUAUGCUUCAAUGUAUUUUGGGCGUUUUGAGCACGUAAGUCAAUUAUCUUUAUCAGUUCGUGAUGUCUCCCAUGUGAACAUUAGUAGAAGGUGGAGGUGGGAAGUACACAGAAAGUUAUUUAAAUCCUGGGAUUUUGGUCACAAAAUGUAAUUAGACCACAAACUAAAUGAUCGUGCCAUGUAUAAACAUGCUGGCUCAGGCAUCCUCAAAACGUUUUUCUCUCUGUGCUUAU